ensembl:lncRNA novel transcript
CUCGGCACGACCCAGGUUCCAUGCUACAGGCCUCUACUUGUCCAGACCUGAGGGUCAGAUUCAGAUGGUGCAAAUGUUUAAGACCUGGGUCUUCAACGAGAUGAAUUAUCAGCUAUUUCAUAGCUGCAGUGUUGGAUAUGCCGAGACGAUAAAAGCAACAGCAAUCAGAAUCAACAGUUGAAACGACAUGGCAGACGCUGUGAAUGCUAUGAACUGCUGUGCUGAGCAGCAGGAUUCCUGUGUCCUGGCGCAAUGCCCAUGGGGAUUCAUGCUUUCAGAGGGUCACGCCUCAGGAACACGUAGAAGGGCAAGCAUUUCAUCUGGCAGGGCACUGAUUUAAUCUGCACGCAUGUUUGGCUGUAAAACUAGCUCCUCCCCCUUACCAUUUUUGAGUCGCUGCCGGACUCAAAUUCCACAGAUUCUGGAAGGUGUCCAGGAACUCGUUGAUUUGUCAAACUUAUGGCUACACACAGCUGGAAUGGAGACGGACUCCACUGAGGAGACUCAUACAGGACAGGAGGGAAUUUUAAGAGGAUAACCCUGAGAUUGAAAACAUCAAACCAAACCUGAAGCACUGAGAGGUUGGGUAACCAGCUCUGGUCACUGAGUUGGUGAGGGAUGGAUUCAGAAGAGGUCUCCAAUUGUGACACCGCAGAGGACCUGCUCUUGGCCACUACACUCUACCAGCUCUGCAAGAAGCGCUUCCACACUUUUCAUCUCAGACCCACAGAGCCAGUGUGUGCGGCUGAGGUGCUCAGACUGGCAGGUGAAAUGACUUCAUUAGUGCCCU